GGUGGGGAUGACGUCAAGUCCUCCAUGGCCUUUAUGCCCAGGGCUACACACGUAUACAAUGGGCGGUACAAAGGGAAGCGAGUCCGCGAGGAGGAGCCAACCCCAAAAAGCCGUUCACAGUUCGGAUCGGAGUCUGCAACUCGACUCCCGUGAAGUUGGAAUCGCUAGUAAUCGCGGAUCAGCAUGCCGCGGUGAAUACGUUCCGGGCCUUGUACACACCGCCCGUCACACCACGAAAGUCGGCUGUACCAGAAGUGCGUGGGCUAACUUUUCGGAGAGGCAGCGUACCAAGGUGUGGUCGGUAAUUGGGGUG
rnacentral:rRNA from 1 species